GGGUGCGAUGAUACCAGCGUUAAUGCACCAGAUCCUAGUAGAACUUCGCAGUUAAGCGCGCUUGGGUUAGAGUAGUACUAGGAUGGGUGACCUCACGGGGAGUCCUAGUGUUGCACCCU
rnacentral:rRNA from 1 species